GGGACAGCCACGGUCACAGCCACAGCCAGAGUCACAGCCACAGCCAAGCCAUGGUCACAGUCACAGCCAGAGUCACAGCCACAGUCACAGCCAGAAUCACAGUCACAGCCAGAGUCACAGUCACACCCAGAGUCACCCCCAGAGUCACAGUCACAGCCAGAGUCACAGUCACAGCCAAUUCACACCUCCAGAGUCACAGCCAGAGUCACCCCUGCGGCGCUCCGCCUGCUCCAGCUGGGGACAGCACGGCCACAGCCCCAGUCACAGCCAGAGUCACCCCAGGGGGACACACCCAGAGUCACACACCCACCGUUACCCCAAAACCAGCUAGGGGGAGGGCACACCCACAAUCACACCCAGAGUCACACCAGCGGGACACAGCCACAGUCACGCCAGUCACACCCACAGUCACACCAGGGGGACACAGCCACAGGGGGGGGGGGGGGGGGGGGGGGGGGGGGGGGGGGGGGGGGGGGGGGGGGGGGGGGGGGGGGGGGGGGGGGGGGGGGGGGGGGGGGGGGGGGGGGGGGGGGGGGGGGGGGGGGGGGGGGGGGGGGGGGGGGGGGGGGGGGGGGGGGGGGGGGGGGGGGGGGGGGGGGGGGCACACCCACAGUCACACCCACAGUCACCCCAAAAACCAGCUAUGGGGGGGGGCACACCCACAGUCACCCCAAAAACCGGCUAUGGGGGGGCUGAGCUGCCAGGGCAACGCGGGUUUGGGGUGUCCGGGGUGGGCUGAGGUGGUGGAACAGCAGGGAAAGGAGGAAUUUGGGGUCCCCCAGGGGUUUUGGGGACCCUCACCCUGCGGUGAAAAGGGGCAAAGGGAGAGUUCUGGGGUCCCCCAGGGGGUUUGUCCUGUAUCCCCAGGCAGGUCUGGGGGUCCCUGCUCAGUUUUGGGGUCUGUUCAGUAUCCCUGGGCAGGUUUUCGGGUGUCUCUGCGUCAGUUUUGGGGUGUGUUCUGUAUUCCCACGGAGGUUUUGGGGUUUGUUGUGUAUCCCCAGGGAGGCUGGGGGCUCUCUGGGUCAGUUUUGGGGGUCUCUGAAGGAGUUUCGGGGGUUUGUUCUGUACCCCCAAGCAGGUUUCAGGGGUUCAUUCUGUAUCCCUGGGCAGAUUUUGGGGGGGGGGUCUCUGUGUCAGUUUUGGGGUUUGCUCUGUACCCCAGCUCAGUUUUGGGGUUCCCAGCCCGGUUUUGAGGUUCCCAGCUCGGUUUGGGAUGCCCAGCCCAGUUUGAGGUUCCCAGGCCAGUUUUGGGGUUCCCAGAUCAGUUUGGGGGUGCCCAGCUCUCCCAGCCCAGUUUUGGGUUCCCAGCCCAGUUUUGGGGUUCCCAGCCCAGUUUUGGGGUUCCUAGAUCAGUUUGGGGUUCCCAGCUCAGUUUUGGGGUUCUCAGCCCAGUUUUGGGGUCCCCAGCUCAGUUUGGGGUUCCCAGCCCAGUUUUGGGUUUCCCAGCCCAGUUUUGGGUUCCCAGCCCAGUUUUGGGGUUCCCAGCCCAGUUUUGGGGUUCCUAGAUCAGUUUGGGGUUCCCAGCUCAGUUUUGGGGUUCUCAGCCCAGUUUUGGGGUCCCCAGCUCAGUUUGGGGUUCCCAGCCCAGUUUUGGGUUUCCCAGCCCAGUUUUGGGUUCCCAGCCCAGUUUUGGGGUUCCCAGCCCAGUUUUGGGGUUCCUAGAUCAGUUUGGGGUUCCCAGCUCAGUUUUGGGGUUCUCAGCCCAGUUUUGGGGUCCCCAGCUCAGUUUGGGGUUCCCAGCCCAGUUUUGGGUUUCCCAGCCCAGUUUUGGGUUCCCAGCCCAGUUUUGGGGUUCCCAGCCCAGUUUUGGGGUUCCUAGAUCAGUUUGGGGUUCCCAGCUCAGUUUUGGGGUUCUCAGCCCAGUUUUGGGGUCCCCAGCUCAGUUUGGGGUUCCCAGCCCAGUUUUGGGUUUCCCAGCCCAGUUUUGGGUUCCCAGCCCAGUUUUGGGGUUCCCAGCCCAGUUUUGGGGUUCCUAGAUCAGUUUGGGGUUCCCAGCUCAGUUUUGGGGUUCUCAGCCCAGUUUUGGGGUCCCCAGCUCAGUUUGGGGUUCCCAGCCCAGUUUUGGGUUUCCCAGCCCAGUUUUGGGUUCCCAGCCCAGUUUUGGGGUUCCCAGCCCAGUUUUGGGGUUCCUAGAUCAGUUUGGGGUUCCCAGCUCAGUUUUGGGGUUCUCAGCCCAGUUUUGGGGUCCCCAGCU
rnacentral:lncRNA from 12 species